rnacentral:rRNA from 1 species
GAUGAACGCUGGCGGCGUGCCUAAUACAUGCAAGUCGAGCGAACGGACGAGAAGCUUGCUUUUCUGAUGUUAGCGGCGGACGGGUGAGUAACACGUGGAUAACCUACCUAUAAGACUGGGAUAACUUCGGGAAACCGGAGCUAAUACCGGAUAAUAUUUUGAACCGCAUGGUUCAAAAGUGAAAGACGGUCUUGCUGUCACUUAUAGAUGGAUCCGCGCUGCAUUAGCUAGUUGGUAAGGUAACGGCUUACCAAGGCAACGAUGCAUAGCCGACCUGAGAGGGUGAUCGGCCACACUGGAACUGAGACACGGUCCAGACUCCUACGGGAGGCAGCAGUAGGGAAUCUUCCGCAAUGGGCGAAAGCCUGACGGAGCAACGCCGCGUGAGUGAUGAAGGUCUUCGGAUCGUAAAACUCUGAUAUUAGGGAAGAACAUACGUGUAAGUAACUGUGCACAUCUUGACGGUACCUAAUCAGAAAGCCACGGCUAACUACGUG